rnacentral:lncRNA from 1 species
CCGCGUGGCUGCGAGUUCACGAGGUCUCCAUUCUCUUUUUGUUGUUUUCCUUACUCCACAGGGCGAAUGGUCCUUGUCGGACCGCAGAAGUCAGCAUCCGGCCUUUUCGUGAUUCUGCUUGCGCCCGAUGAAAGCGAAGCCUGAAUGUCUUUUGCCCUUAGUGAAAAUCGAGUUACCGGUUGUGACGUGGAGAGGGUCCAUGAAAUUUGCAAUUAUUCUAAAGGGAUCUCUC